GUGGGGAAUUUUGGACAAUGGGCGCAAGCCUGAUCCAGCCAUUCCGCGUGCAGGAUGAAGGCCUUCGGGUUGUAAACUGCUUUUGUACGGAACGAAAAGCCUCUGGUUAAUACCCGGGGGUCAUGACGGUACCGUAAGAAUAAGCACCGGCUAACUACGUGCCAGCAGCCGCGGUAAUACGUAGGGUGCGAGCGUUAAUCGGAAUUACUGGGCGUAAAGCGUGCGCAGGCGGUGAUGUAAGACAGUUGUGAAAUCCCCGGGCUCAACCUGGGAACUGCAUCUGUGACUGCAUUGCUGGAGUGCGGCAGAGGGGGAUGGAAUUCCGCGUGUAGCAGUGAAAUGCGUAGAUAUGCGGAGGAACACCGAUGGCGAAGGCAAUCCCCUGGGCCUGCACUGACGCUCAUGCACGAAAGCGUGGGGAGCAAACAGGAUUAGAAACCCUGGUAGUC
rnacentral:rRNA from 1 species